AGCGGGGCUGCGCUCCUCACCGCUGCCCCCGCCCCCAAUAGCGGCCGCCGGCCGGCUGCAGCCCCCUUAAGAACGCCGGAACAUCCGUCAUAGUCGCGUCACAGUCCCGCCCUCCGCCCGACCUUGGUAAUGAGCCAGCGGUCCCGCCUCCUCAUGAAUAAUGCACGACCGCGAGGGAGGGGAUGCGCGCGUACCGCCCAACGCCGCGCACUGAAGGUGGGCGCUACCAUUUAAAGGGCGCGGGGAGAGGUGACGGCCUUUAAGCGACGCCCCGAAGAUCCGCUGGCCUUUUGCUGGCCUUCGACGACGCAGCCAUCCUGAAGCGGAAAACAACCGAAAUGGAACCAUUUUAUUGUGUUCGCGGCAGCUGGUGCGACCGGCUCUUCCUUCCGCGGAGGGAGGUGUGGGGUCUGAGCCGUGCUUUCUUUCACCGCCCCGUGCCGCACCGGCCGGCAGGCGGGGCGCCCCCGCCCCUCGUUUGCAUUGACGCAGGCGGGCGGGCCGCGCCGUGGCGGCACGAGUUGGGGGGGAAUGUCGAGGUUGGGCUGGGCCCGUGGCUGUGUGCUGUGUGCAACCCAUCCCCACCGUGCCCACUGACCGCCUCCCUCAGUGCCGCACCUCUACGUUUCUUGGGCACUGACUCUGCCAUCUCCCUGGGCAGCCUGUUGCAAGGCAUCACUGCUCUUUUUGAGAAGAAACUUUUCCUUACAUACAUUCUGAACCUCCUCUACAAAACCAGUUCCCUCAGCCGCUCCUCUCAAGACCUGUACUCCAGACCCUUUGCCAGCUCUGCUGCCCUUCUUUGGACAUGUUCUAGGACCUCUUUGAGUCAUGCAGCCCAUCUUCCACGCCCUCCACUGACCCAAGGAAAGCCCAGGCUAAGGCAGGCCUGAGGAUAGGCCUGCAUGUGGAUAGCCCUUGGUGGUAUUUCCUGGACAGGCAAUGCUAAACAUGGGUUUUUACCCUUUUUUAUGGUUCUGGAAGCAUGGCUUUUAGCAACAGUGUUGAACACAAGUAAGUAGUUCAGCAGCUAUAGGUGUAAUGCAGAUCUAGAUAUCCUUGAACAAAAUAAAGGACCUCUGCUUGUUGGCUGGAAAAGCUUUAACUCAGUGGUGACAGUGGUGCACAUCUGCAGAGUGAGUGAUAGCACACUUGAGAAGUGUCAGUGUAUGCCUGGCCUAUCCUACUUCUCCAUAGGCAUCCAUUAGUGGCCCCUGUCAGAAGCUGUGUGGCUACUUUCCAUUUGCCCAAUGGAUGUUUGGCCUGAACCAGUGCUUUAAUCAUUAAAUCUAUGUGUUUAUUAAAUGUGUAUAAACUGUAAGGGAAAAAUGUUUAGUUCCACGUGUCUACAGUCUUCUUUGGUGCGAUCGUGUUCCUGUAUAUAGGAGUGAGCCUGCAUGGGUGUGUAUAUUUAGAUAUUUAUGCCACUUUGCAGGCUUGCCAUGCAAAUACAUGUGCAGCGUAGAAGACUAAUUGCUACUUUUUUCUUAUAUUUCAGUUAAUAUUUCAGAAUUGUUCAUUAUAUUGGCAUCCAUUCUGUUUCAGGAGCUCUGCAGCCAUCUUACAAGUAGCAAAAAACAGGGUACAGAUCAAGGCCCUGUUGAUGAUUGCAUGCCGAGUGAAUGCUGCCAGCCGAGUGAUGGUUGCUCACUGAAUAGCGAGUUGCUUCAUGGCACAGUCCUCAUAAACAUGGCUUCAGAGAGCUGUAGAACUGGUAGGAUCCAGCUUCCCUUUGCCUUCGUGUCACAUGCCUGAUGUUUGGUUAUGUGCAAGCCUGAACAGAAGCUGUCCCGCACCUGGGGCAUUUGCUGGCAUCUAACAAUGGUGAAGUAGUGCUGCACUGUUCUCCCCGAUGGCCAGCUGCCUGUUGCUAGCAAGUAAGGCAGGAACUUCUUUGACUGUAGUGUUUGUCCCCUUGCUUGAGUCCCAAUUCUUGCUGUUGUGGAGUUCACAAGUUCUUUUAAAUCAGUUGGAAGACAAGAGCACUCACAUCCUCUGUGACAGCUUAUCUCUGCCAUGGUAGCUAUCUGCCCCAGUUAUACACACUUAUUAAAACAACUUUCAUAGAGGAAAUCUCUUCUAUUUUUAACUGUGUAUAAACUAAGCAUCCACUCUGAAUUAGUUGCCUAAUCUGCAAACAAGAGACAGGUGCUACCAAAGUGAUUCAUCUUUUCCUAAUACAGGUACAUUUAGAGAGAGAAACCUCAUCUCUCCUUGCUGAUUUUGAGGAAAGCUCAUGUCUGUAUCCUGUCCAGGAGCUCUUCGGUGCUCAUCGGUCUUGUGGUACAAAUAGGCUUCUUGACUCUGACACAAGCAAGAAUGGCCUAACUGAGUCAAACCACUCAUCCUUCCAGCUGUGCAUCUGGUUUCUCCUGCCUCUGAGAGCUAUGAGCUCUUAGCUCCUGUUUGCUGUGGCCAUAAAUUCUAGCUUCUUCAUCAAAUCAUUUCCUUUCAAGAAGUCAUGGGCCCAGUCCUUGGAGUUUUCUUUUUCCUCUCCACUUCUCAGUUUCUCCAUUUGGCCAUGUGGCCUUCACACUCCAGUGCAUUAUUUUUUAGUUCUUCCCUGUAACCCUGCUUUCCUUUUUCUUAGCUGCCCCUUUUUGGAGACCUUUUUUGGGCUGGGCAGUAGGAAAGACUGUCUGAAAACACAUGCCUAAAUGGAUGUGUAGGAAGCUUGACAUGCUUAGCCUCUUCUUUCAGCUACCUCAACUGUUUGCAGCUUGGAGGUCUGCUAGAUUUGCCUUUCCAGAACUUAGGUGAUAGUGGGAUGCUUGGGCUCUUCAUUCUGAUUUCAGAGCAGAACUCCUGUCCUGGAUGAGCUGAGGGAGCUAGAAGGAGUAAUGCAACUCCAGUAAGUGGCUGAGAGGAUACAGCAAACACCAGGAGGGGUGGGUAUCUGGCCAUGUGCAAUAUUACUGCAUGUAACACGUGCAUUGAACAAUGUGGCAAAACAAACUGUCGAACAGGUAAAACCAUAUAUACCUAAGUUAUGAUUCUGGCAGCCAUUAAUCAUCCUGCUUCUGUCUAUUCACUGUAACAAACAUGCCAGAUGUCCACUUCAUUUGGGAGGCCUGUGCGGAACUGAGGCUAACAGCUCUCCAGGGUUUGUCAGCGCAGUAAAGACAGUGGCCAUCUGAGUUCAUCUUGCUGUGUUCUGCAUCAUCCACUGUGCAUGAAAUUCUGCGUGCCAAGAUAAACAAGCAAUGCUAGAGAAGAGAAAGCAUAAAGACAAAUCACAAUGAGCUUUAUUAAGACAAAUCUGGUAAGCUGUAAGGAUUCCAAAGCACCUCUUCUGGCUGGAACUUAGGUGGCACGAAAGCACUCAUCUAGGCAGUACUUCUGAAUUGUACCCCUGAGUGGUUAUUGCCUCCUCUGGAAAUUGCUGUGCACAGCUUAAGUUCUUUCCUUUUCAUAAGACCAGGAGAAUAACACCUGCUAUUGGCCAGUGUUAGAGAGAUGGUACUAUUGUGUGAGACAGAAUUUUGGACCAUCAUUCUGUUUUUCUGCUUGAACAAAAAAAAACCUCUAAACUUUUAGUAGUUAUAAAAGCUGGAAGGGAUUGUGCUGAAAUGCUCUCUUCCUUGGAGUAGUCUGUGGGUUUAACUUCUUUAAAAAUGCAGGUUCUUGGUGUAGAAUCCGUACCUUUUUCUAAUCCGAUACCACGAAGGAUGUGUUAUAAUUGUGGGGAAUUUGUGAUCAGUCAUGAAAUGGAUAACAAUCAAACUAUGAUACGUAGACUUUUAUGUCUUUGCAGAGCUACUUCAGUGCUUCCUCAUUUUGUAAAUUACCACGAACACCAGAAUACUGGGAACCUAGCACAUAAAAAAGGAAAUAACUGUGCUUCCAGAAUCUGUUGUUCCCCUCCCAAUAGUUUUUUUGGAAGGUCCCAGUGGCUGUGAUUUUGAGUAUGGGCUGCAAAUAACAUGCUAAGCUAAAAAUUAUCUUUGCUUUCAUUCCAAUGCAAAAAGCUGCUUCUCUGGCUUCUUUUCUUUUCUUUUCUUUUCUUUUCUUUUCUUUUCUUUUCUUUUCUUUUCUUUUCUUUUCUUUUCUUUUCUUCUCUUCUCUUCUCUUCUCUUCUCUUCUCUUCUCUUCUCUUCUCUUCUCUUCUCUUCUCUUCUCUUCUCUUCUCUUCUCUUCUCUUCUCUUCUCUUCUCUUCUCUUCUCUUCUCUUCUCUUCUCUUUUCUUUUCUUUUUUUCCUUAUUGCAUGUUACAGUUAAAAGUAAGCAUAGCUACAGGUAGUUAGGACUAACUUCAAAAAGCCUUUUUGUUGUGGAGUGGCUCGGCACAGUGAGUAUCUGUGGCUGCUUGUAAUGCAACAAACUCUUCUUUCCAGAGCCCACAACAUUUAUAGGUCUUUCACCACUUACAGUGAUUUACUGCUCCAUUUGACCCAUCUUCCAAGGCUCUGCAGCUACAAGAAAACAUUUUUUUUCUCUUGGCAAUUUUACCUUCUCUCUUUUCCCAUCUUCUCUCUGGUUUGUUCCUGGGCACCUUUUACCAAGCUCUGUAUUUCGGUGGCUCUGCCUGUCCUGCCCUGUUCUCAGGGGCUCUGCUGGCAGGUCUGUCUCAAUGUCACCUGUAGUUGGGCUGUUGGGAGAAGCACUGUCUCCUGUCUGUGGUCUGUGGCAUGUGUCUGCUUCAUACAUCAGCCUAAGCUUUGAAAUGAGCCUGCAUAUGCAUUCCAGGAACAGCACAUUGUUCUAACUGGUAACAAAAAUACAUGACUAACGUGCUUCUGAUAGAGCCGCUUCCUCUUAACCUUAAAGUUGAUUUUUUGUUAAUGACUUCUUCCUCCCAUGGAAACGUGGAAAACAGUCUGGGACUGCAGGUUGUUAUUCAGUAAGAAAAACACAUGAUGAAGUUUGACAUUUCACAGGAAAAAGAUGUCUAAAGAUUUAUAUCAAUGGGUUUUAUUUACUGUUUUUCUGUUCUUGAUUUUUUUAAACCCCGAAAACAAAACUCAUGCAUUGCUAUAAAGGAGGUGGGCAAGUCUUUUUCAGCAGUGAGCAGUCUGUUGAGUCACAGUAACGUACGUUCUUUCCCCAUGCUUUUUUUCUUUAAAAGAAAGAAAUUGUUAAUCAUCUACAUGUAAAAAAUAUGGAAAAUAAACCAUUGUUUGAUCACCGUAUGUCAGAAUAAAAUUAAAAGCAGAGAGAAAACAUAACAUGAGGGCUUGACAUGGUUCGCUUUGUUCUGUUGUUCCCGUGCCCACGUGCCCAUGUUGUGUUCAUUUUUUAAAGCUAAAAAAUCAUAAAAUUCAUAGGAGAUGGGCAGCGUUUGUUCCUUAUUCAAAGUCCUUCUUCCACCACAAGGCCUCCACUGCCUGCUAAACUUGCAGGAUAUGGAUUCUGGUCACAGGAAUGCAAACCAGUGAUUUACUCUGCUUUUUCUUCUUUUUGCCUGGGGUUUAACCAGUACAUUAGACUAAUAUUUUCUUGCUUGCUAGUGGCAGUUUCUGUUUCUUUUUUUCUUUCUUUCUUUUUUUUUUUUUUUUUGGUAGUGGAAGUCAUUAGAGUUUCUCCCAAGAGAAUCACUGCCAAAGUAAACAAACAUCUUCAUGAAAGGAAAAUAAUGUCUGAGGAGCAUUCAGAAUUCCAUGUUUUACAGAAGAGUAUUUAUGGCAACCAACUAGUGAAUUAAAGUGAAAGAAAUCCCAUUACUAGUUUGCUGCUUCUGCUGUGCUAAUCGAAAGUGGCAAUUUCUGCUCGCUUCUCUGCGCUACAGUGCAGGGUCUCAGUAUAAGCUGUAAUUUAAAAUGAAGGAAAUUAUGAGAUGAAACUCUUUUUAGAAGCAGUGUUAUGUUGGGUUUGCUUUUAUUUUUCUUAAUUGUUGGUAAUUGUAUAGAGCUUCUGCAUGUAAAACUCAGGGGAACUGCUAUUGUCUCCAAAAUGUUCUGCGUGUGGUUGGCAAGAACAACAAGCACAGAAGAAAGUUCAGCUAAAAAAUUCAUAAAAGCUGCCUGGUGGAAUGCAUUGCAAUCAGCUGUACACCUUGGUGCUCUUAUCCCUCUGAACUGAUCAUUUUUAGCUGAGAUGAAACAUUCUGAGGAGCAGGAGCCUGGCAGAUUUGCGGCGUAGAUUGUUUGAAGGUUUAAACACUGUGACUAUCUCAUCUUACUGCAAGUCUGUAGAUAGAACAUAAGCUCAAGUUGCUGAAAAGUGAUAGAAUGGCUCUGUGUGCACAGCCUACAAAACUGUGAAGGGCUUAUUUUCUGUGUGCUUUCUGCGUUCCCUCCAGGAGAGCAGUAAUUCCCCAGUGGAGCAAGCACACUUUGCAUUUGUUGAGGAUGAGACUGUCUCUAGUCCUUUGUUUGGGCAGCGGCUUUCACAAAGGGGACCAGUACUCACUGGGAACUUGCCAGCACCAUCAUAUGUUUCAUGACAAAUGCUAAGUGUUCAGAAAGUUGGCACUACAAAAUAGAGAUACUGUCAAUCUCUGUUUAAUUCUCAAAAUGGCUUGUAGGAUUUUAAAGCUUGUGUUGUUGCUGGUGCACUCACCCAUCAGAUAGCAUUUUUAACAGCCCUUCUAAUAUGGCCGGUUAAUUUGGUUAUAUUACUAGGAUGUAAAACAAAAUGAUUCCUAGGAUAGAGAUUGCUAGAUUGCUAAGAUUUUACUGCCGUUUUUUUCCUAUCUGCUGCGUGCUGAAGAACAGUGUGUCCAGCCACAUGUAUUGCUGUAGUCAGACCAUGGUAUUUUCUCAUCUUCUUUCCCAUGUACAGCUCAGACACAGCUGCCGCUAUUUACCAAACACAAAGGUGUUUUUCACAGCUCAGAGGGUAUGUUUGGGUUCUGCUGUAAGGAACGCGUGAUACAUCUCUAUUAAUUGCAUGAAUGUUCAGUGUAUGUUUAUGUACCUGGAUACUGUGGUGUUCUCUUUGGAAUUUUAGGGAGCGAGCUCAUAGAUCUUUGGAUACGUCUCCAGAGACAUGAUGAUUCCAGCGUCAGAAUAAUCUGCUCCAUAACGUGACCACAUUUAGGAGACCAGCUCCUGGGAGGAGACCCAAGGAGACAUCUUGAAAUUUCUGAGCAGAGAGGCUUUGGCACAGAGUUGGUGUACGCCGGAUGGCAUCCAGUUGGUAGCCUGCAUUGCUGGUGCAGCAGGAGGAAGCAAGCCUCUGACAAGAGCUAGAUAUGUCACCCUGCAGGACUGCACGGACAGCUUAAAUGGAGUGUAUGUUUGCACCUAAGCAGACUGUUAAGUAACAGAAGUGAGGUCAACAGCUCCAAGAGUGACUAUCGCAAUAUCCAGCAGCCAUAGCACUGACAUUGAGACUGGCUGGGCCAUGAGGUCAUGCUUCUGGGAGGAUGAAGAGGAAGGCCUGGAUGCACUGAGGAAGAGAGUUGAACUCAACUUUGCUAUACAGCAGAUGAAUAUUCACCCUGGUGUAUAUAUAUAUAUAAAUCUAUUUAUUUAAAAGCAAGUCUGAUGAAAGGAUGCGUUUUUCAUUGCUAUUUGUUGUAUGUAAGAGAAAUUGGCAUCUGCACAUAGAACACCGGACAGAUGUUUGCAAAGAGGUCUCAACAAGGAGUCCAAGAUCCUUCCUGGAGUGAUUAUUUAUAAUUUAUCACAGUGUUUGUGCAAUUAGGGUGUUUUUCCCCCCACGUGUAUUCCUGUGUGUCUAUCGAUAAUAAAUGAUGCGUGGUUUUAUGUUGCUGAAUCACUCAGCAUUCAGUAUGACGAUGCCUUUUGAAGUAUUGACUGUUCUAAGCGAUUUCCAUCAUCAGCAAACUUAGCUGCCUCGUUAUUAAUCCCCUCUUCCAGAUCGUUUGUGAAUGUAGUGAAGAGAACAAGUUCAAGUGCAGAUCCCUGAUCUCUUCUCUCCCAUGGUGAAAACAAUUUAUUACUACGCUUCAACAAAUCAUUAAUCUACUAAAGAAUUUCCAUCCUUAUGAUAACUCAGUUUCUUUAAGAGCUUUUAGAGAGAGAGAUGUUGUCAAAACACUUUGACUUCUGGAAAUCCAAGAGCAUUACAGCAAUCCGCAUUCACCACCAUGCUGACUGCUUUCAGGAACUGUACCAUCGUCCAUUUCAUCAGCCCACAGCAGGCUGUAAACCCUACAUUUGGUCAGGUUUCUUCUUCCGCAGAUGUGACGUUAUUUGUGUACUAAAAAUAGUGGCGAGUGCUUUCAUUACUUGUACAAAGGCUUCUAGCAGUUAGUGACAGUUUCUAAGUGAACUUAUUGCUAUGCUGCCAGAAACUCCAGAGCGAGGUACAGAUUUCCAUUGACCCCGAAUGCAGCAUGGUUUCUUUGUGAUAGAAGUCUUCUAUUUAUUUUCCAUAAAUGACAUAUCCCUGAAGCAACGGUGAGGGAAUGAAAGUUGCAUUUUAUCACUGUAACAUUUGCAGAAAAGUGAACUGCUAAACUCCCUAUUCAUAAUGAAACUUCGACUGGCCGCGAGUUCUUAAAAAGCUUACCUGCAGGUGCACAGCUUUUUUUUUUUUCCCCCUUAAAAAUUUAUAUCUGAGCCUUAUGAACUUCUGAUUAAACUUUUAAAAUAAAUUAAGGGUGAGAGGAUUAGACAGGGAAUUGGAAAUGAACUGUGGUAUCUUUUGCCUCUAGCUCAGCAUUUUGAAGGCAGCCCAAAUGAGAUGUGACAAAGUGCAGUGCUCUCGUUUCUUUCUGCUGACCUACGUGCAAGUGGAGUUUGGUCUCUGCCAAGUUCUUUGUGUGAACAGCCACGUCACCGUCACUGCUAGUCUAAUUAGCAGUAAUUAGACCUUUGUUGGAAUUUAAAAUAAAUAGGCCAUGAUUUGGAUAUCACAGUGACUAAAUUAUCCACUUAGAUGAUCCCCUCUGUGGGUGAACAGCCUGCUGCUCCCAGCCCUCCCUUUUCCACAGAGUGACAGCAGUUACAAAGAUCUGAUUUAAAUGACGAAUACGUCCAGCUUGUGUUUUGCAGAAUGCCGUGUCCUGUUUGAAAUAGAAACUGUAAAAUUCUGCAGGACAGUCCCUGAGUGAGACUAAUAAAGCCACGUUUUAAUCCGUUAAGGGCUGUAGUAGCUAUUAUUUCCUUCCUGCCCUCGAUGGAGGUGUGAAGACUUUCAGAGGAAGCACCCACCAGCAGACGUUCAGAGGUUCCUACUGCUUCAGCCCCUAUCUGAACUUCCUAUUGCUCCUUCUCAGGAGAAAUUAUUUCAUUAGCCUGGGUCAGCCCUUUCUGAACAUGUCUGUUUCUUACCUUAUUUCUGCUGCCUGUCAUGCUGUCCUGCUGCCAGAGAGUAUUUUCAGACCCGUAGGUCUGACUCCCUAGGCGUUUCUCCUGGACUUUGUACACCACUUCUUGUCCUAGGAGAGGAAAGGAAAGUGUGCAUUUCCAGUGGAGCACUGCAUGCAGCUUUUUUUCUGCACAUGUGCCCUCUAUGGAUUCUUGUUGGAUUUCCUGACCCUUUUCUGUUUGAUUGACUCUGAAAGCCCAGCUGAUUCUUCUGUUCUCCCCAAAGCACCUAUGGGAACUUCUGUAACUUGGUUGCUUCUAUCCGAAGUUUUUCUUUGCUUCUUUGAGAAAAGAGAAAGUCGUAGCACCUGAAAGUGUGCCAAUUCCCCAAUCACACUGGUUGCCAGUCAUUGGCUGGGUCAAUAGAGACUGGGGUGGGAAAGCCUGGUCCUGCUGCAGGUCAGAGCAGGGCACAUGAGACUUCUGAUCAGAGUGUGGUGGCAUAGGAAUCCGUCAGUGCUCUUCUGGGGUGGUGGUCAUUGUCCUGACAGCCUCUGCAUUAUGAUAAUGGGAAAAAAAAAUGUUAAUGUUUGUUUCACUGAUGUAUUUUAGAAUGAAUUACUCUUGGCAUUAGAGCCGACUGCAUGCAAUGGACAACUGCACUGCUUUAAAAAUCCUGUGCAUUAUGCCAGCAGUGUAGGGGUCUCCAAUCUUCAAACACAGACACAUGGUUUCAGAGAACACAAACACUACGUGUUGAUCUGGAAGUAAAGAGAAGCAGUGUGAAUCUGCUUUUCCCAUAUUUUCAGCCAAUUGCUGGCUAUUUAAAUCUUUAAUCUAAACAGAUAUUUGGAUUUAGUUUCUGAAGAGCAAAAGCCUGUCAGCUAUUUCAGUGAGGGCAACAACUUAAACAGUCAAUAUAUCAUUCCUGAAACAAGCAUAAUUUCAGCAAUCAAGUAGGAGAUAUUUCUUGUAGGUCCGCAAUUCCUUGUAGAGAGAGUUCAUAUCAUAAUGAUGUGCUCUGUGGAGGUGACUCAUUUGCACAUUUUGGAGUUCAGACAAAGUCUCUGUGUUAGCUCUCUUUCCUCUCCUACCUUCCACGUGUUCUCCUGGAUUCAUAACAGAAUGAUUCUUUCUGUUACAUAAGACUGAAAUGGCUUCUCAUUUUCACUUUCUUUAUGCAUAAGAGGCUUAUAAAUGUAUUGAGUUAUGGCUGAGGAAACUAGAAUACAUGCUACCUGAAAACCAUCAUAAAUUGUUCCAAAAUGAUCUUGAUUAAUUAAAAAAAAUUGGUUUUGCUUUGUGCUAGUCCAACUAUUUUGACAACUACUUGUGCUGUAGUGCACAAGUGGGGAUAUAAUCGCACAGGGCUGAAGAUGUCUAAUAAUGAAGUAGUGACACCCAGUUCUGUAUAUGCCAGCAUGGCUACGUGAAUGCAAUACACAAAGCCAGAUGUACCAUUUUAACUGCACAAGGAUAUAUUCAAGUAUGUUUAAAAUGGACAGCGUGACAUUUAUGUGUAUGUGUGUAGGUCUCACUGAAAGUAGUGCCUCCUAUUUAUUUCCAUGGAAGCAACAACAGAUACAAAGAGCUCAAUAACACUAUUUGAUAGAGCAAGCCCUCAGCUACAGAACUGUUUUU
ensembl:lncRNA